UUUUAAUCCCUGAGAGAAAUACAUGGGCUAUUUUCAGCAUAGAACACAAACUUUGCCUUCUUUUCUCAAGUCCAGUGAUUCAAGUUUGACACACCACACCAUGGUGAAUGUGCCUUGUCUUUACACGUCUUCCCAGUAGCACUAGAAAAUACAUCCAAAGGCAUGUGGGCAAGAUCUGUGGUAUUUGUUUAUUAUGGCAGCUCAGGCAGACUAAGACAGGCCAUCAUAAGACGUGAAUGUUUUGGACCUUCUCUUGUGCCCUAAUAAACAGAAAUCAGAAAAUAGUUACAAGGCAGUCUGAGACCUCAGGGCUUAUUGUUGCAAGUGAAAAGCAGGCUGAAAGAAAAGUUAAGUCAUUGAAAAUGGUAUCUACAUUUACUUUCCCUUUUAUUUGUAUUCUUUGCUCUUGGCUUUAAGUUCUUUUGAUUCCAGAAGGAAGAAAACUUUGUGAGUGUGCUGCAAAGCCUCACUUUGCUGUCAUGAUUGGAAGGUUUGACGGUAUCCAGAAUUACUCAUGAAAGAUGGAAGAGCUGCAGCAUUACAGUGAAAGCCAUCUUGCAA